UAGUGACACCAUUCUGCAUUUUUGAAGUGUCCUUUCAACAGGUAUUUUGCAGACUGAUGCCUGAGUCAGCCAGGCUCCAGCUUUUCUGAACCCGGGAAGCCAGGUACUUCCUCUUCCGGGUGACGGGGAGGCCCCGGGCUUGGAUCCUACGGGCAAGAUGGCCGCUACCUGCAGGGGGCUCCGCUCAGGAGCCAGGGAAACGCACGCAGCUCAGCGUGGAGGGGCUGUGCAGACCCGUGAAACGUCAGCUUUAUAUUGAGUCAGAACUCCGUUGGGGCAACAGAAAUUCCUUCACCAGAAUGGAAUUUAUUGAUUAAAGGAAAAGAGCCUUUUGUUCUCACGACAGUGAGACCACCGAUGCCAACAUUGAUGUCGGUGGUGAUGUCCAGUGACGGGGUUGAGGAAGGCCACAGUGGUGUCUCCACCAGGCAGAUGGAGCCUCUCCCAGUGGUCACCACCACCACUAGCCCACAGGGAGUUCUGCCAGGCAACCACCGAUGUUCACUUAAAGCCCAAGGUCUCUGCAGUCAGCUUGUGGUGAAUGCUGCCCAGCCUGAGACUCACCUUUCAGGAUAGUGGGCUCCCCUCUGGCCCAGGGUCGGUCCAGAAUUGCUGUCCAAGAGCCUAUACCUGGAUGCAGUAACCCCAGGAGCCCACUUGGUACUCUACCCCACUACGGCCAAGCUGGUUGGUACCUAGGGUGCAAGACAAAGUCCCCUUUACUUUUCCUUCUACUUUUCUCAAGCAGAAGGAGUCUUUCACCAUGGCACCACAGCUUAUAAUGUGCUGGGUCUCACUUAAAGCCAUCACAUCUCAGAGCCCAAGGCCCACAGUAUAUAAC
rnacentral:lncRNA from 13 species